CCAAGUUUCACUAAAGUGAGAAUUUAAAUUUAAUUUUACAUUUUAGGCCAAAGUGCCCGAGAUGGAAGCAUAACUGCUGUUUUGGUUUUGAAUUUAAAAUUCACUUGCAAAUGUUCCUUUAUUGAAUUACCUGUAUUAAUGCAUAUUUUAGUAACUAACCUUGGUACUUUCAUGUACUGAAAGCAGCCAUGGAUUUAUGACAUUCUUUAGAGUCCUGGUGACCAGAG